rnacentral:rRNA from 1 species
AGAGUUUGAUCCUGGCUCAGGACGAACGCUGGCGGCGUGCUUAACACAUGCAAGUCGAUGCAGUCGACGGUGAAGCCCAGCUUGCUGGGUGGAUCAGUGGCGAACGGGUGAGUAACACGUGAGUAACCUGCCCCUGACUCUGGGAUAAGCCUUGGAAACGAGGUCUAAUACCGGAUAUGUGACGUUCAGGCAUCUGAUGCGUCUGGAAAGAUUUAUCGGUCAGGGAUGGACUCGCGGCCUAUCAGCUUGUUGGUGGGGUAACGGCCUACCAAGGCGACGACGGGUAGCCGGCCUGAGAGGGCGACCGGCCACACUGGGACUGAGACACGGCCCAGACUCCUACGGGAGGCAGCAGUGGGGAAUAUUGCACAAUGGGCGCAAGCCUGAUGCAGCGACGCCGCGUGAGGGAUGAAGGCCUUCGGGUUGUAAACCUCUUUCAGCAGGGAAGAAGCGCAAGUGACGGUACCUGCAGAAGAAGCGCCGGCUAACUACGUGCCACCAGCCGCGGUAAU